GAUCAUGGCUCAGGACGAACGCUGGCGGCGUGCCUAAUACAUGCAAGUAGAACGCACAGUUUAUACCGUAGCUUGCUACACCAUAGACUGUGAGUUGCGAACGGGUGAGUAACGCGUAGGUAACCUGCCUGGUAGCGGGGGAUAACUAUUGGAAACGAUAGCUAAAACCGCAUAAUAUUAAUUAUUGCAUGAUAAUUGAUUGAAAGAUGCAACUGCAC
rnacentral:rRNA from 1 species